GGCGUUGUAGCUCAGCUGGGAGAGCAGCAGACUGAAGAGAGUAGCCCGAAAUUGGAUGCUCGCAGUAAUAUCUGAAGGUCCUGUGUUCGAUCCACAGUAAUGCCA